rnacentral:rRNA from 1 species
UACGUAUGGUGCAAGCGUUAUCCGGAUUUACUGGGUGUAAAGGGUGCGUAGGUGGCAUGGCAAGUCAGAUGUGAAAUGCCGGGGCUCAACCCCGGAACUGCAUUUGAAACUGUCAAGCUAGAGUACAGGAGAGGAAAGCGGAAUUCCUAGUGUAGCGGUGAAAUGCGUAGAUAUUAGGAGGAACACCAGUGGCGAAGGCGGCUUUCUGGACUGACACUGACACUGAGGCACGAAAGCGUGGGGAGCAAAC